CACAUAAAACGAAAACGGAGAUGUUAAAAAUAAAAUAGAGAAAACGGAAACAGUAAUUUAAAUUGCGAGUGGUAAUCAAGCGGAUUAGGCAUAGUUACAGUCCACGACUAUUUUUUGGCUUUCGGUAUAAAAAUAACAACAACAAUAGUCAACUACGCACCGACAACGGACACCAACACCAAGAACCAACACCGACACUGACACCGACGACCGACGUACGAUUAACGCCCUCCCUACGCUCCGCACUUUUGGCACCCGCACACACACACACUGACGCACACACGCAUACACUCCUCUCUACAAAUAAUCAUCAUCAUCAUCAUCAUCAUCAUUAUCAUCAUCAUUGCACAGGCGAAGGCACAAGGCACAUAAACACUCAUACACUUAUCUAUAUACCGCGUUUAUCAACGCCGCCCGUCGCCGCCACCGCUGCUGACCCACCACCCCCCACCAACCUGAUCCACAACAUCAACUUUGUUUGCUAUUGUUGUCUGCUGCUGCUGUCAUUUGUUUUGUUUCCUUAAAUGUGAACGCACACACACACACGCACGCACGCAAACACCUACACACACGCGCAAAAUACGAAGGAGCAAACAAAGACGACGGCUCGAAAAGAAAAAAAAAACUGCAACAAAACAACGGAACGAGAGAGCGAGAGUGACUCCAUUGAGAGCGAAAGCGAAAAUUGCAAUAGAGAGCGCAAGUGGAAAAGUGCAAGCUUAAAUAACAAAACGAUCAGCAAUCGCGGGGCGUAGGGCCAGUGGGGGGCAGAGGCCGUGCGAGAAAGUCAAACUCAAACUCUAUGGGUCAAAAGGCAAGCACACCAGCGACCAGCGGCCAGCAGAGCCCACGCUCCAGAACAUUUUCCAGCAGCUCAACGGGUGCAACCGCAACCGACACAACGCCGCAAAGUUCAGCGGUCGGUGGCCGCGGCGGCGAUGCCGGUCAGGGUUUUAACUUGCUGCGCACACUGCCGGGUCUACAGGUCUAUCACCAUCAUCAUAAUCAGCAGAACUCCACGUCCAUAGAUCGACAGCGUGCUCGCAGCCUUAGCUCUGUGCCAGAUAUACAACAACAGCAGCAGCAGCAGCAACAACAACAACAACAACAACAACAACAACAACAACAACAACAGCAGCAGCAGCAACAACAACAGCAGGGAUCCACAACGUAUCCGCACACACAUCCCGCCGUCUCAGUCUCUGUGUCAGCUAAUUCAAAUAGCAAUAGUUUUCAAGUGGCAGCCGGCAACAACAACGGCUCAUCGGCUGCCGCACAAAGCUACAUGCAACAGCGACGCGCUUUUGGUGACUCAAUACGCGAGAUGUCCAUGACCGGCGCCAAUAUCGUUGAGAGCAUCGCAAUGGCCGCAUCUGCAACAUCUGCGAAUGGCAUCGGUCGUGUUUACACAGCGACAUCGCUACCAUCGCACAUUUGGUCCUUCAAUGGCAUCAAGUGUCCCGUGUGCAAUAAGUUCGUGUUGCCAGACGAUAUUGAAUGCCAUUUAGUUAUGUGCCUAACAAAACCCAGACUCUCAUAUAAUGAGGAUACAUUAUUGGACGCCAAGGGCGAGUGCGUCAUAUGCCUUGAAGACUUGAGUCCAGGUGAUACAAUUGCUCGAUUGCCAUGUCUAUGCAUAUACCACAAAGGCUGCAUUGAUCGUUGGUUUGAGGUGAAUCGCUCCUGUCCCGAGCAUCCAGGAGAUUAGUAAAAGUCUCAUUAGAGCUCGUUAAGUCGUUUAACGUCUAAGUGGGCAGUGCGUAGAGCGAGUGCCAUAAACAAAACUGGAUGAUAGACGACUUUUCAGCAAGCAUUUGUUAGCAACAAAAAGCCAACAUUGUAAAGAUCAUCAAUUGUUAAAUGGAAUGGAAAGUGAAGUGAGAGGAGAGGCUACGACAAGCAAAAUCUGGAUCGAGCGAUCGAUCGUUUUGACCUACCGACCGACUGUUUAUGCAAAUCCACAAAAAAAACAAACACAAAUCAAUUGAAACAAAUUAAUUUACAAUGCUAUCAUAACUAGAAAGUGCAACGUCAACAAACAAAGGACAAAGGACAAAAGUGAACGAAACCAACCAACCCACAAAAAAAACAAAAACAAAACAAAAAAGAAACAAAUAAAGCUAAAUCAACACGAUGUUAAGAAUGAUGUAAAGAUAAAGUUAAUGAUGAUGAAAGUGCAUGAAAGCGAAGCAACCAACCAACCAACAAAAGAAUGUCAACCAAUGUGAUGUUAAAUUUUAUAUUUUGUACUAUGGAUAUGAUGUAAUUGUAAUGUAAUGUAUAUGUAUGUAUGUAUUUAUUAUUUUAAAAAAC